rnacentral:rRNA from 1 species
CACAGGGAGGUAGUGACAAAAAAUAACGAUGUGAGGCCUUUACGGCGUCACAAUCGCAAUGAAGCGAAUUUAAAUCACUUCAUGAGUAACAAUUGGAGGGCAAGUCUGGUGCCAGCAGCCGCGGUAAUUCCAGCUCCAAGAGCAUAUAUUAAAGUUGUUGCAGUUAAAAAGCUCGUAGUUGACUCUCGGACGAGGACGCCCGGUCCGGCCAUCGGUCGGCACUGGGCGGGCCGAGUCUUACGUCCUGGGGACGGCCGGUGCUCUUGACUGGGUGCCGGCCACGCGAACCAGGAGGAUUACUUUGAAAAAAGUAGAGUGUUCAAAGCAGGCAAUGCGCGCUUGAAUACCUUAGCAUGGAAUAAUAAAGUAGACGCUGGUUCUAUUUUAUUGGUUGCAGG